rnacentral:tRNA from 1 species
GGGCCGCUAGCUCAACGGUAGAGCAGGGGACUUUUAAUCCCUUGGUUCCGGGUUCGAAUCCCGGGCGGCUCACCU